AGUGAACGCUGGCGGUAGGCCUAACACAUGCAAGUCGAACGGCAGCACAGUAAGAGCUUGCUCUUACGGGUGGCGAGUGGCGGACGGGUGAGGAAUACAUCGGAAUCUUCUUUUUCGUGGGGGAUAACGUAGGGAAACUUACGCUAAUACCGCAUACGACCUACGGGUGAAAGCAGGGGAUCUUCGGACCUUGCGCGAUUGAAUGAGCCGAUGUCGGAUUAGCUAGUUGGCGGGGUAAAGGCCCACCAAGGCGACGAUCCGUAGCUGGUCUGAGAGGAUGAUCAGCCACACUGGAACUGAGACACGGUCCAGACUCCUACGGGAGGCAGCAGUGGGGAAUAUUGGACAAUGGGCGCAAGCCUGAUCCAGCCAUACUGCGUGGGUGAAGAAGGCCUUCGGGUUGUAAAGCCCUUUUGUUGGGAAAGAAAAGCAGCAGGUUAAUACCCCGCUGUUCUGACGGUACCCAAAGAAUAAGCACCGGCUAACUUCGUG
rnacentral:rRNA from 1 species